rnacentral:rRNA from 1 species
GUGAGUAACACGUGGGUAACGUGCCCCAAUGACCGGGACAACCCGAGGAAACUCGGGCUAAUACCGGAUGUACUGCACAGUCGUAAGACAGUGCAACAAAGGAAGCUUCGGCCUCCGCAUUGGGAGCGGCCCGCGGCCCAUUAGCUUGUUGGUGAGGUAACGGCUCACCAAGGCUGCGAUGGGUAGCUGGUCUGAKAGGACGAUCAGCCACACUGGGACUGAGACACGGCCCAGACUCCUACGGGAGGCAGCAGUGGKGAAUCUUGCGCAAUGCGCGAAAGCGUGACGCAGCAACGCCGCGUGASGGAAGACGGCCUUCGGGUUGUAAACCUCUUUCAUGAGGGACRAAGGUGCAGGCKCGAAUAGCGUCCUGUWCUGACGGUACCUCCAGAAGAAGCUCCGGCUAACUACGUGCCAACAGCCGCGGUAAUACGUA